rnacentral:rRNA from 1 species
UACGUAGGGGGCUAGCGUUGUCCGGAAUCAUUGGGCGUAAAGCGCGCGUAGGCGGCCCGGUAAGUCCGCUGUAAAAGUCAAAGGCUCAACCUUUGAAUGUCAGUGGAUACUGCCGGGCUAGAGUCCGGAAGAGGCGAGUGGAACUCCUGGUGUAGCGGUGGAAUGCGCAGAUAUCAGGAAGAACACCGACGGCGAAGGCAGGUCUCUGGGCCAUAACUGACGCUGAGAAGCGAAAGCAUGGGGAGCGAACAGG